rnacentral:rRNA from 1 species
ACGGGUGAGUAAUAUAUCGGAACGUGCCCUAGAGUGGGGGAUAACUAGUCGAAAGACUAGCUAAUACCGCAUACGAUCUACGGAUGAAAGUGGGGGAUCGCAAGACCUCAUGCUCCUGGAGCGGCCGAUAUCUGAUUAGCUAGUUGGUGGGGUAAAAGCCUACCAAGGCGACGAUCAGUAGCUGGUCUGAGAGGACGACCAGCCACACUGGGACUGAGACACGGCCCAGACUCCUACGGGAGGCAGCAGUGGGGAAUUUUGGACAAUGGGGGCAACCCUGAUCCAGCAAUGCCGCGUGAGUGAAGAAGGCCUUCGGGUUGUAAAGCUCUUUUGUCAGGGAAGAAACGGUAGUAGCUAAUAUCUAUUACUAAUGACGGUACCUGAAGAAUAAGCACCGGCUAACUACGUGCCAGCAGCCGCGGUAAUACGUAGGGUGCAAGCGUUAAUCGGAAUUACUGGGCGUAAAGCGUGCGCAGGCGGUUGUGUAAGUCAGAUGUGAAAUCCCCGGGCUCAACCUGGGAAUUGCAUUUGAGACUGCACGGCUAGAGUGUGUCAGAGGGGGGUAGAAUUCCACGUGUAGC